GGAUGAGAAUCUUCCGCAAUGGACGCAAGUCUGACGGAGCGACGCCGCGUGCGGGAUGAAGGUCUUUGGAUUGUAAACCGCUGUCACGCGUUAAGAACUCGCAGGACCCAACACGUCCUGCGUUGACGAAGGCGCGAGAGGAAGCCACGGCUAACUCUGUGCCAGCAGCCGCGGUAAUACAGAGGUGGCAAGCGUUGCUCGGUGUUACUGGGCUUAAAGGGUGCGUAGGCUGCGCAGUACGGCUCGGGUG
rnacentral:rRNA from 1 species